rnacentral:rRNA from 1 species
UUACUGGGCGUAAAGCGCGUGUAGGCGGCUCUGUAAGUCGGGUGUGAAAUCCCACGGCUCAACCGUGGAAGUGCACUCGAAACUACAGGGCUAGAGUCCUGGAGAGGAAGGUGGAAUGCUUGGUGUAGAGGUGAAAUUCGUAGAUAUCAAGCGGAACACCGGUGGCGAAGGCGGCCUUCUGGACAGUGACUGACGCUGAGACGCGAAAGCGUGGGGAGCAAACAGGAUUAGAUACCCUGGUAGUCCACGCCGUAAACGAUGAGUGCUAGGUGUCACGGGCUUUGACCCUCGUGGUGCCGAAGCUAACGCGUUAAGCACUCCGCCUGGGGAGUACGGCCGCAAGGCUAAAACUCAAAGAAAUUGACGGGGGCCCGCACAAGCGGUGGAGCAUGUUGUUUAAUUCGACGCAACGCGAAGAACCUUACCCUGGGCUAGACAAGUACAAGAAGUCGGUCGAAAGGUCGAUGUGCCCUUCGGGGAACCUUGUGGU